UACGUAGGGUGCGAGCGUUGUCCGGAAUUAUUGGGCGUAAAGGGCUCGUAGGCGGUUUGUCGCGUCGGGAGUGAAAACCUUGGGCUUAACUCAGGGCUUGCUUUCGAUACGGGCAGACUAGAGGUAUGCAGGGGAGAACGGAAUUCCUGGUGUAGCGGUGAAAUGCGCAGAUAUCAGGAGGAACACCGAUGGCGAAGGCAGAUCUCUGGGCCGUAACUGACGCUGAGGAGCGAAAGCAUGGGGAGCGAACAGG
rnacentral:rRNA from 1 species